rnacentral:rRNA from 1 species
UCCAGCUGAUCCUGCUGGCGGAAACCGCUAUCGAAUUUCGACUUAAGACAUGCAAGUCACAAGGCUCGGAAGAGUUCUUGGCGGACGGCUCAGUAACACGUAGAUAAUCUACCUUCAGGUGGAGUUAAUCCCGGGAAACUGGGGAUAAUGCUCCAUAGAGAAACUAUACUGGAAUGUUUGUUUCUUGAAAGGGCGGAACUAUUCCGUUUGCAGUCGCCUGAGGAUGAGUCUGCGUCGCAUUAGGUAGUUGGCGGGGUAACUGCCCACCAAGCCUAUGAUGCGUACGGGCCCUGAAAGGGGUAGCCCGGAGAGGGGAACUGAGAUAAGGUCCCCAACCCUACGGGGUGCAGCAGUCGCGGAACCUUUACAAUGCACGAAAGUGUGAUAGGGGGAAUUCGAGUGCUCUCACUGAGAGCUUUUGCCAAGUGUAAAUUGCUUGGCGAAUAAAGGGGGGGUAAUAUACGUGCCAGCCGCCGCGGUAAUACGUAACCCCUAAGUGGUUUCCACUCAUAUUGGGCCUAAAACAUCUGUAGCCUGCUUUAUAAGUCUUUGGUGAAAUCGGACAGCUCAACUGUUCGAAUUGCUAAAGAUACUGUAUAGCUAGAGGAAGGAAGACGUAAAGAGAAUUUUCGGGGUAACGGUGAAAUGUUAUGAUCCCGAAAGGACUACCAGUAGCGAAGGCGCUUUACGAGGACUAUCCUGACGGUGAGAGAUGAAAGCUGGGGGAGCGACCAGGAUUAGAUACCCUGUUAGUCCCAGCCGUAAACGAUGUUGACUAGGUGUUCUGUUUCCCACGUGGAUUUGGAGUGCCGAAGCGAAGGCGUUAAGUCAACUGCCUGGGGAGUACACUCGCAAGGGUGAAACUUAAUGGAAUUGGCGGGGGCGCACUACAAGGGGUGGAUGCUGCGGUUUAAUUGGAUACAACGCCUGAAAAUCUUACCAGAGACGACAGCAGGAUGAUGGACAGUCUGAAGGGCUUUCCUGACACGCUGAGAGGUCCUGUAUGGCCACCGCCAGCUCGUACUAUGAAGCGUCCUGUUAACUCAGGCAACGGGCGAGACCCACGCUAAUUGUUGCUAUUUUCUCUUUGGAGGAGAGCACUCGAUUAGGACUGCGAGAGUAAUCUCGAGGAAGGUGUGGGCUACGGUAGAUCUGUAUGAGCCGAAUUUUCUGGGCAACACGCGGCACACAAUGGAUGAGACAAUGGGCUGCUAACCCGAAAGGGUACGCUAAUCUCCGAAACUUAUCCUCAGUUCGGAUUGAGGACUGUAACCCGUCCUCAUGAAGCUGGAAUCCCCAGUAAUCGCGUGUCACUAACGCGCGGUGAAUGAGUCCCUGCGCCUUGCACACACCGCCCAUCAAGCCAACUGAGUGGAGUUUGGAUGAGCACACUUCUUUUGAUGUGUUCGAUUCUGUAUUUCGCGAAGUGGGCUAAGUUGUAACAAGGUG